GGACCGGAGUGGACGAACCUCUGGUGUUCCGGUUGUGUCGCCAGACGCAUUGCCGGGUAGCUACGUUCGGACGGGAUAACCGCUGAAAGCAUCUAAGCGGGAAGCCCCUCCCAAGACUAGUUCUCCCUUGCCCCUUGAGGGCACUAAAGAGCCGUCCAAGACUAGGACGUUGAUAGGCUGGGUGUGGAAGCGUUGUAAGGCGUUGAGCUAACCAGUACUAAUUGCUCGUGCGGCUUGACCGUAUAUCC
rnacentral:rRNA from 1 species